rnacentral:rRNA from 1 species
GACGUAGGGCGCGAGCGUUGUCCGGAUUUAUUGGGCGUAAAGAGCGCGCAGGCGGUUUGAGAAGUCAGAUGUGAAAGAGGCCGGCUUAACCGGCAAGGGUCAUUUGAAACUGACAGACUAGAGUACAGCAGAGGAUAGCGGAAUUCCCGGUGUAGUGGUGAAAUGCGUAGAUAUCGGGAGGAACACCAGUGGCGAAGGCGGCUAUCUGGGCUGAAACUGACGCUGAGGCGCGAAGGCUAGGGUAGCAAACAGG